UUAACUGAAACCAAAAAGAGGUGUACCACUGUUAAUGGUACGAUUGAAUUAUUUUCCAGUUAAA
rnacentral:tRNA from 2 species